rnacentral:sRNA from 1 species
GCGGUCGCCCGGGAGCGACGAGCGCGCAGCGAACCGGGUGCCGGGUCAUGCGCCGCCGCCUGUGGCUGGGCCUGGCCUGGCUGCUGCUGGCGCGGGCGCCCGACGCCGCGGGAACCCCGAGCGCGUCGCGGGGACCGCGCAGCUACCCGCACCUGGAGGGCGACGUGCGCUGGCGGCGCCUCUUCUCCUCCACUCACUUCUUCCUGCGCGUGGAUCCCGGCGGCCGCGUGCAGGGCACCCGCUGGCGCCACGGCCAGGACAGUGAGUGCGGGGCGACGGGGGCCUGGGGUGGGGGGGCGGCGGGUGACGGCAACGCGGCCGCCGUCUUCACGGUGACCUGCGCCCGUGGUGGAGUCCCGGAGGCUCCUCUGUGCAGCCUCGGCCUCAGUUUCCGUGGUCUGUGAGAUGGGUGCAGCCUGCCUGGUGGGAGGGUUGCACUGUUAAAGCGAAGGCUGCAGCGGCGGACCCGGCUCAGGGGCAGAGAAGUGUCCGUGUGGUACAACCCUGUGGGUGGGGCCACCCAUCUGCAGGUGGGAAACUGAGGCUCCAGAGGGGCUGGGGCAGGCCCAGCUGCAUGGCGGAAGCGGGGGGGGUUGACCUCCGGACUCCUGACAUCACAGAAUCCAGUCAGGGCUGCCUGAGUCGGGGCCCCCUCUGCUUCUUCCCAGACACCCCAACUGGCAGGUGAGGACAAGGAGGCACACAGAAGGGAUGGGACCUGCCCAGGGUCACACUGACAGGGGGGGCGGAGCUGGGUCCCCACAGGGCCCAGGACGUCACGGAGCGGGCGUCUCUGUCCCCAGGGCCUGCCCAGCACACUGAGGUAGGCCCUCAGUGUUUGUGGAAUGUCAGGAGCAAGAGGAGAGGCUGGGCACAGCAGGGGACGUGGGUACCUGGAGGCCAGGGGAGUCGGUGUCCCCGCCGGGCAGGGGGCACUGGGAAGGGGGCCCGGGCCCGCUGGCUGCCACCUGAAUCACCACCAUUAGGGCAGGUAAUCAUCUCCUGCCCUUCCCAGCGCUUUCAUCUGGGCGCCAAGGCCCUCAUUAGGCCGCACGCGACGAGGGCGGACGGGGGACUGGCUGGGCCGGUCCAUCCAUGGCGGGCAUGGCCAGGCAGGGUGGCCUCGGGCCGAGGCAGAGGCCUGGCUCCGCUGCCUGACCUGGAACAGUCUCUGCCUCUCUCCAAGCCUUGGUUUCCCCAGCUGGAUGGUGAUGGGGGUGAGGGCCAGCUGAGGGCUCUCCUGCCCUUCGUGCAUUCGCCGGUCACUAAUUGGGCACCUUUUGGGUGCUGUGCUCCACAUGGGGGACCCAGUGGUGACAGAGACGCCCACCCUCCUGGGGCUCCCAGAGCAGAGGCACGCAGCAGUUAGACAGGUGAACAAGGGCACAGGUGGGUGCACAGAACAGUGAACGGUUGGCCGGGUGCAGUGGCUCACGUCCGUAAUCCCAGCACUUUGGGAGACCGAGGCGGGCGGAUCACGAGGUCAGGAGAUCGAGACCAUCCUGGCUAACACGGUGAAACCCCGUCUCUACUAAAAAUACAAAAAUUAGCUGGGUGUGGUGGCGGGCGCCUGUAGUCCCAGCUACUCGGGAGGCUGAGGCAGGAGAAUGACGUGAAGCUGGGAGGUGGAGCUUGCAGUGAGCUGAGAUCGCGCCACUGCACUCCAGCCUGGGCGACAGAGGGAGACUCCGUCUCAAAAAAAAAA